CAAGAACCCAAUGGAGAGAAGACAAGGAAGGAAGUUUCAGUUUUAGAUGUGGGAGGAAAACCACAGGAAAAGCCACGCAAUCAGAUGUUCAGGAUAAUAUAAAAUGUGACCAUACCUCGUAAGGUCCUCUACUGCUUCUUCUACGUUACUUCCAUCCUUUGCACUACACUCUAUAAACAAGGCGUUGAAGGACUGUAUAGCUUCAAUCCAGUCGCGUACAUUAAUGAAGGACCUUUCGUACGUACAGUCGUACAAC